UGCAUGAAUUUACGUGUAUUAGCCCGUGGCACGUUUGAAGGAAUCCAAGCGUUCAAGCCUCAUCUGCGCGUAGAACUGAGCGAUGAACUCCUUGGCCUUGAUGUCGAUCAUUUCGUCUCCACCGUCACCCCAGACAUCGUCGUCGUCGGAGCGGCCGAGUUCUUGGAGGUUCUGAGCGGAGGCGUAGCGGCUCAUGCCGUCGAUGGAACUGCCGGAGGAAGAGGCGGCGCUGGGGGAGAUGGGCGGCGGGUAGACGUCCUGGAAGUUGUCCAUGGAGAUGGAGACAUGGAUGCGGGGCUGAGGCGGGGAGUUGCUCUCCUGGAGGUGGAGAGGGCGCAUGGAGCCGACGAGCUUCAUGGCGUUGGAGGCGACGUCGACAGCCACCGGAGCUUUCUUUUUGCUGUGAUUACGUCGUACCAUGAACAAGGCUGCCUUGAAAAUAGACAUUGGCCCACGCUUCUUUGUGGGUUUCUUAGUGGGUUGGGGCACAAUGGCCUUCAUGGCAGCUUGAUCUUCCAUUUCAAAUCAAAAUUGAAUUCAAUUGUGUUUUGUUGUUUUGAAAUUGGCCCCUCACGCCUCUCCCUGCAGAAAGCAGGGCGAGACACGGAGAGAUCUUCGUGGCAUCGUAUUCCUUUCACCUUCUGCCUUUUAUAGGGAGCUGGCGCAUCAUAUUUCGCGGAAUUAUUUGAAAUAACUAAAUUACCCUCCAUAGCUGGGCUUUGCUAGAGGUCGAUGAAUGUGUACCAUCUGAGUUACAGACAACGAGUUUGAUAUUCAUAAGGGUAAAAUUGCAAUUUUGCAAAUUAUUGAGUGGCAAUGAUGUAAUAAGAUCAGAAAAUAGAGUGCUAAAUGUAUGGGAGAGUAAGACGACGUGGGGAGCGGUGUUUUAGGCAAAGGAAGAGGUGGAACCGUGGAAGAGCGACGGAGCUUCUGUUUCGGGUUACAGGCUUACAGCUAUUCUGACGGCUGCCAUUCUUUUGCUUCCGUAAACUUCUCGGGAUGUGUGGAAAUUUUAUAAAAAACGGAAAACAGAUGAGCCGUUGAACCGGUCUUUUGUGAGUUGUGACAACUUUCAAUGAUCACAUUUAAUCAUGGGAGUCAACAACCUCUAAAUUAAACAAAUAAUAAAUUAUUAAAAUAACAAAAUAUCAUAAAAAUUAUUUGUUAGUUCAAUAAAUUCUAUGCGGUGGAAAAGGACAAACGUGACAAAGAAAUAAAAUUUUUACAUUAUUCCAUAUUGUUUUUUUAUCAAAAAUUUGAAUAAAUUUUAAGUCAUAUGGAAUGUGAUAAAAAUUAAAUAAUAAAAAUAUUUAAAAAUAAACUUAUGUGUUAUCUAAAAAAACUUCAACAAUGUUGGUUUUUAAAGUUCUUAUAUUCCCAAAAUUUGUAGUUUUUGUCAAUAUUUUAAUUAUCUCAACAGUUACAAUAAUAGUGAUUAAACAUCAUUCAAUUUUAAGAAUAAAUAAAACCAACGCAUUAUUUGAGUGCAUGUAUUCCUCUAGAUCUUAUUGUAAGUCAUACCUUGGUUAAUCCAUAAGAAAAAUAAAAAAAAAUAAAAGGAAAAUAAAUAAAUAAAUAGAGAAUGGAAGAAGUAACAAAAUCGAGUCUUAUGAAAUCAUAAUUUUCUUAAAAAUAAAUUCGUCACUUCCUACUAUGAUUGCGAAUUGAAUUAUAUUUGACUCUAUCACAACGAAAAGAGGAAAAUAAGGUUUUAAUGAUUUAAAUGCUAGAAUUCAAGAACUAACAUUUUCGAAAAAUAGUCAAAGUCUCUCUUUCUAUCGAUUGGGGAAGGCUUUUAGGUUUCCGAAAAAUGUUAAAUUCAUUUACUUAUUUAAUGUAUUUACUCAUUUUCUAACACUUAUACUAGUUAGCAUCUACAUUAUUUUUUCAUGUUAUUGAUAAAGCACCUCAUGCUCCUUACUGGACACUUUGACCUUAUGCUACCGCUAACGGAUUAAAUACUUUUUUUUUUUUGUCAACAAGUUCUUUUGAGAUCAUUCUUGAAAGAUUUAAGAUAGAGUAUUUUAGGUAAAACAGUGACUAUAUUUUUACGAUUUUAUUCCUUAUUAUAAUUCAUUGAAUUCAUAUAUUUAUUUAUACUAAAGAUAUCAUUUUGGAAAACAAUUUUAAAUUUAAUUUUGUAAAAGUACACCUGUAAAAUACUAAAAACAGGUUUAAAUUUCAUAAAAUAGGUUUAAAAUAAUGAAUCAGAUGAGCUAGUGUUUGAAUGCCUUGAAGGGACAUUCGAUUAUCCGGGAGGAUGUUUGAAUGUCCUCCAAGGUAGCUUUUGAAUGCUCUUCAAGAUGUUCAAGGCUCUUUCAAGACUUUCAAAUGCUUUCAUUUUUAUAUAAAAAAAAAAAGGACUUAAAUUUAAAUAAAUAUGAAUAUAAUUAAGUGCUUAGAAGGAUUCUUUUAUUAGUAUCUAAAUUUUGUUAAGUAUUAAUUUGUUUCUUUUAUUAAUAUCUUAAUAAUGUCAAAUUUAUUUAUUUUUUUGUGUUAAAAACAUUUAUAAAAUUAAUUGUUAUAUUUAUUUUUAUUUUUAUUCCAAAACUAAUAGUUUAACAUAUUUCCAAUAUGCCAAAAUAUCAAUAUUUGCUGUCAUGAUAAAAUUUUAUAUGAUUAAAUAUUUAAUUAGUUUAAAAAAUGAUAAUUUAAUAAUAAUUAAGAUUUUUAAUCAUGUUUGGUUGCUCAGAAAAUGUUAUAAAAAAAUUAAAUUAAUACUUGUCGCCAUAUGGUACCUUCAAUUAUAUAGAUUUAUAAUUACAAUAUAUGUUUCAUCAUUAAAAUUAAUACGUUAAUUUUUUUAUUUUUAAAAAAUAUCAAAUUCGGAUUUAUUUUAUUUUUCCAAAUUAAUAGGAAUUUUUCAUUCCAGUGAAAAGGCAAGGGAUAUGACUUGUUGCCAGAAUAAUUAUUAUUUUAUUUAAGAAAAAUUUAAUUUAUAUUAUGACUUGUUAAUAGAAUAAUCAAUAUUUUGGGUAAGAAAAAUGUAAUUUAUAUCAUUAUUUCUAUGUUUGUUCAUUAAAGUGAGAAACAAAUGUACCAAGAAAAUGAUGGCAAUAAAAAUAUACAUCUAAUUAUCUUUUAUGGUGAGACCAAGAAACUAUUAUAUAGUUCAUGUUAUGAUUAAAACACCCUAAUUCUAUUUUCUAAAAGUAAUAAUAAAUCAACACGAAAAAUAAAGUAUUAAAAUAUAUGAGAUUUAUAGUGAUUUACUCUUAAUAUAAGAAUUACGUCUAUUUAUAAUUAUUACAGAUUUUUACUAUAAUAAAAAAAAAGAGUACGACAGAAUGUCUAAAUCUUUAGUCUUUAAGUUUUUCUUUUAACGUUUUUCUACCUCUCUCGAUAGCCAAAAAGAAUAAAACUUUUACUCUAAAAAUUGAUUACCUUAAACAUAAUAAAAAUAGAACAAUUAAAUCAUGCUUAAAAUUUUAAAAAUACUCUUACUAUUAAGAUAAUAAUUAGCCUCGGCAUGUUUUAAUACUAUAAACAUUAAUAUACUGAAAAUACGAGUUCAAUAUAAAAAUAAAAUAAAUUAUAAAAAAAUAUGAUUUCUUUUAUAUUUAUUUUUUAACAAAAAUCAGAAAUAAAGGUGGGUCAAGGGUUAGGAAGACCAUGCAAACAGCGUGAGAAGAGUGUGAGCUCGGCCGCCGCGGUUUCAUUGGUGAUUAAAAUUGGGUCCCACAAAAGAGGUUGAGGCCAUCACAACACAUCCCUACUCGUUUUCCACGCAAAAUCAUUUCCUUAAAAGAAAAAUUAACCACAACUGUUUUUCUCAGAAAUUGCCUUGCAUCUACUUAGAAAUUUGGACCUGAAAAUUUCAAGAUUUGCCCGCCUAGGGAAGUUAAGAUACAAAGAAAUAACAAUUUAUUUAUUUUUUAUGUUAUAUUUAAAAGAAUUAAAAUUAAUGAAAUGAAUUUAAAUUAAUAUAUAAAAUAAUUUAUUAUAUUUAAAUUUAAAUUUUUUAUUUUUUAUUUUUUUUCCUUGUAUACCCGAACACAGCUUUAAUUAUUUUUUCUUUUUCCUAUUUUUAAGAUUAGAAAUUCAUUUUUUUUUUUUUUUGUUUUUGGUUUUUUCUCAGCUGCCAGCUAAUUGCUUCACUUGAUGUGUUUGGCAGCCCAUUUCCCAUUAACCAAGUUAUGAAAGUUUGAAUUUUUGGAAGUUUCUCAAUCCAAUCCAAAAGUUAACGGUACCAUUGGCAUGAGCUAUAUGACAAGUUGUAAAACGGAGGGGGCUCACCCUCCAUCUUUACAAGUUACCAAGGUAGGACCCAUGAAUUGGUGGGAGCCAGUUCACUCCAACUGUUUGAUGAAUUGCUUUAUACAGAAUUGGUGUAUUAAUUGUAGGGCAAGCAAGUAGACCUUUGCUCAUUCAAUGAUAAAUUACUACUCAUGAUUGGUUUCUUCUGGUCCUCUUGCCAAAUCUCAUGGCAAACUUCACCAUUCAAAAGGAACCAGGACUUUUCGGUUUCCCACUGUCUAGCUUGGAUUGAGCUAACAUCGCAUCUGCAAUGGACAUAGCAUGUGCAAAACUGUCCCUUGAAAGAAAAAAAAAAAAAAGGAUUUACUUAAUAGAAAUAGUCAUAAAAAUAGGUUAUUUAAGAAAUAUUUAAUUUAUUCUAAUUUUCAAAAUUUUAAAAUAAUUCAUAAUAAAUCAUAAAAAAAAUAUAAAAACACACAAUCUAAAAUUUAAAAUAAAUUGUUUGAUUUUUUUUAUUUAAUUUUAAAUAGAACUUUAAUAUUUAAUAGUAUUAAAUAUUAGGUUUGUUUAUUUUUAUAAUAUUUUAUUUUUAUUAAAUAUUAAAAUUAAAAAAUAUUUUUUUUUUAUUCAAUAAAAAAUUUAUAAUAAAUCAUAAAAAAUAAAAAAACAAACUAUAUAUCAUUUAAAAAGCAAAUUGCUUUAAAAAAAAAAAACACAAACACCCUAGGAGGCAUUGAUUUUGAUAGGUACAGCACAUACCAGGCUGUGGGGAGUGUGAGAAGUUCAAAAAUGAGUUAAACCGAGACUGAGCCAAAAGUCCCAUGGUGGCGAACCAAGAGUCAAUCCAUCUGAGUGGUAUCCAACUCAGAUCAUGCACCACAUUGCUUCACUCUCCAUUGACCUCUGGGGUCGUCUUCUCAGAUCAUUUGAUUAUUACUCAUCUCAUUUUCAUUUUUUAAUAUGUAAUAUUCAAUCAUUUUUAAAAAAUAAGAAAAAAAAAAAAAUGAACCUUCUUAUUAUAAGCAAGCUUCCAGUACACGGUUUAUAGGAUUCUCUUUCGCUUCUCAACAUAUAUAAUACAGACAAAACAAAAAUUUGUUGAUUUCAUGUACCUGUGGGUCCAUUUUUUCCCAUGUUGACCAAAAUGCCCUAGUGUAAAUCCACAAUCUAGAAACAGAACAUGGGUGCAUUUGGGAAAAGCCGCAAGAAAACUAAAACGAACCCAGCUACUCUCUACCGCGUACAGCCGUUUGCCCCCCCACCAGCCUCACCGCCCACUUCUUCAAUCUUUUCAAACACACCCCCUCUCCAUAUAUAAUAUAUAUACCCCUCUUGUCCUCUCAUUUCUCAAUAUCUGAAAACCUAUCAAACUAAAAAUUUUCUCGCUACCCAAACAGCAUAAUCUGUUUUCUUUUGCCAUUACUAGUUGAAAAGGAUGAAGAGAGAACGCCAACUUGGUCGUAGGGCAUGGAACCUUCUGCGGUUAGUGUUGUUAUGGGCGCGGAAAGGAGGGGUGUUCAAGAGGAGUUUGAUGAUGGAGCUGAGGCUGGUGCCCAAGUUCUUGAAAAAGCUGGGGAACUCCAGGCACGACUCGAUCCAUUACGGAGAGCGCGAACUGUCGUUUGACGACACCCCCAUUUUCCAUGUGAAGAUGCAUCGUCCAGGGUCGAUGAGAUUCAAGAUGCCUCACAUCCCAUGCAUAAAUCCGCAGGUGGAUUUUGAUUAUGAUUUCGAGUUCAAUGGCGACGAUGGCGGUGAAGUUGGGGAUGGGGAAGAGGCAAGGAAGAGUUUCUUGAUGGGGGGAGAUGAAGAAGACUGUGGUUGUGGGGGCUGUGAAGAGGAAGAAGGGAUUGAUGUGAAGGCGGAGGAGUUCAUAGCUAAGUUCUAUGCUCAGAUGAAGCUGCAGAGACAGAUCUCAUAUUUGCAGUACAAUGAGAUGCUAAACAGAGGCACAAGCUGAGGAUUAAGCUCGAGUUUCGCUCCAUAUUUUUUUUCGUAUAAGAGGCAUUGCGGCAUUUUGUAAAUACCGGAAGCUUCCAUUGAGCUUUUUGCAAUAUUAUAAAUAAGCACUGAGAAUUUAUUGAUUCAAAAGAAUGAUUGUAUUGAUGUUUUGUGAUUCUCAGUCCAAAAGAAAGUUCCUACCAGAAAUGGAUGGCGCCUUGGGCUCCAUUCUGAUCUAUCAAACAGCACAGGGUUUAAUCUCACACCCCUCUUUCAAGAAGCUUUGAAUAAUGAAUAUAAAUACCCUGAAAACUUAUUGCUGACAGCAUGCUAAUCAACUCCAUAAGAAGAAAAAAAAUGACUAUCAGCCCAUGUGAAGAGACCAAGAACAAAAUAAAUAAAUGUUUUCAGUAAACAAAGACAUAAAAUAUAACCAGAGUCAGCUUUGAGCAAACAGUCACAACAGUUUAGAAGUGCAACAAGGAGCCUACAGAAUUUUGCAGUUUGGCUCUAUAUGGGGACUGGUUAAAGAACCCUUUUGUAAGCCCCGAUUUGCAAUUCUCACUAUGAAGCAUCAAGCAUUUUUGUAUGCCCAAAGGUUAGGGAUAGAGUUCAGGAAAAGAUGAUACUGUUAAUCCAUAGAUAUGGUGAGCCUAGUGCUGAUUCAACUGGGCCACAAGCCUGGCAAUAUGACAAAUUUCUCCUGUCUUUGGUAGUUGCUUAAAUUUUUUCCAUCGAACACUAGUCCAGCACUUAAGAAUUGCUUCUUUGGGAGCAUUAAGACAGCAAAUUUUGUAUUAACUGCCAUUCUGAUGCUGGCUAAGAUAUGCUUCCAACUGCCCAAUUGCAGCCAAUAUAAAACCUACAGUUGCAAUAUCACAGGUGUUUAGAUGAUAAAUAGACAUUUAAUUAAGGCUAAUACUUGAAGAACUAACCCAAAGUUGGCAACCAUUUAGUUCUGAAGUUUUUAGAUGUUGCAUGGAAAUUCAGUCAGCCUAUUAAAUGUUGCAUAAGGUUUUCAGAGCAUCUAUAAGAUUGUAUUUUUAUGUUUUCACAAACUGGAACUUUGCAUAAAACAUCCACAUCAGCACCUUAAAACAGAACAGAACUUGACAGUACGACAUUCAAACACGACCAACAAGAGCACCAAUCCCAAUGCUCUCAGUUUCAAUCUCAAAAAUCAAUUAAAACUUUAGAAACAGCACCCAUUACCUUAUCAUGGGAAAUGGAUGGUUCUGGAUUUAGAAUGGUUGGUUUAAUGAGAAAUUUUAGGCUCACCACUUGUAUCAAUGCAUACCUAGAAAGAGAGCUGACGGCCUCCCAGGCCGUGACUUAAAUUCUGGAUGAAAUUGCACGCCCACAUAGAAUGGAUGACUGGGAAGCUCUAAAAUCUGCAAAAGAAGAGAAAGGAAGUGAAACUUUGAAACUCGGCUAGUACCUUAGCAGAAAAUUAGCAUUUUGGAGAGGGUGAAGCCCAGUGAGCUCAAACAUCAGAUAUGGAUUCACCACAACCAAAAUGAAAAACGAAACUUUUAAGAGCAAACUCUUGAAACUAAACAAUUUGAUUCCGGCAGAUCCUUAAGCUCAUGUGAGCUUAAGCAGAGCUGAUUUUGACAACCAACCUCCAUUCUUUGUCCACUUUCAUCUUUCCCUACAAACUUCAGGCCACCUUCUUCUAGAACACCAACCAUAUGUGGGUUCACCUGCACCACUCAUGUCUCGGGUAAGAAUAUUAUGCCAUCUGAACAAUAAGAUAAUAUGCCCACAGGACAUCAUUUCUUCACUCAACCAGAUUCCAUAACUAACCUCAUAUCUAUGUCGAUGCCGCUCAUCCACGUACUCUGAAUUAUGGUACCUGAUAUUAAACAGAAACUAUAUAAGCAUGCAUUCAUGAAAAUCUCAGCAUCAAUAUAUUCUUAAUUCUAUAAAAUUUGAGCAGUGAUUUAAUGGACUCAGCUCUGUCAUAAGCAGCCUCAGAUUGGUCCAUGAGAUUAGUCAUCCAGGACUCCAUAUGCUUGGACAAACAUCCACAUAUCACGAAGAAGAUAAUAAGCAUUACAGUUCAGUUAAAUGAUUUAUGCAAUCAGCCCCUAACCUGACUUAUUGGGCAAGGAUUGGGGUAGGAACGGGAAAGGUUCUAAGUUUGUGUAAAUAUAUCCAAGGAAAAAAAGAAGAAGAAAGCAUUGAUGUGUAAUUGUAUUUUGCAGUCCAUGGAAGUUUUUUGUAAUAUUUUUUAGACUACGUGGACUGAAAAGUUCAAUCACAUACAGUUUUGCAGUAAUACAAUCAGGAGUCUGGAACAGUGUUCUUCGAGAUCCUAGUCUCAUGGUGCUUCCCAUAUGCGUUGUUGAACCCUGCACAAGGAUGUAAAAAUGAUGAUAACCAUGGAACAGAAGAAAUUUGAGAAAUGCUAAGAUGACCAUACCUCUGGCAUGAACAUUACAACACGAUCAGGUGUCUGGGUGUCAAACUCUUCACUAUUGGCCCUUUCCAUGCCCAAAACCUAAAACAUGUGAUCAAAGUACAACAAAUAUAUAAUUUUUUUUUUUGAUAGGUGAUCAAACUACAACAAAUAUAUGGCCUGAUGAAUAUCAAAAGGAAAUACAUAUUUGAAAGGAAGGUUGCUUACAGAUCUAGCAAACUCAAUCACAGAAAUCUGCAUGCCCAAGCAAAUCCCAAGAUAAGGAACAUUAUUCUCUCUGGCAUACUUUGCAGCCAAUAUCAUUCCUUUCACACCACGAUCACCAAAGCCUCCUGGAACCAGGACACAUGCUGCAUUCUGCAAAUAUAGCUUUUUCAGCGACAUCUUGAACAAUUAUCUCCAUCUUAAUUUGAAAAGAAAAACAUUAAAAGUAAAAAAGAAAAGAGGAAAACUUUCAUUGUCUUUCAUUUCUUGAUCCCUAAAUUGCAAAGUACAUUAAAUAAGAGAAAUGAACACCAGUUCAAACAGAGGACACAAUUUCAGUUCGACCACUUGAGAAUUGAGAGGAAAAGAGAAGUGCUAAGAAUAGAAAAGCAUAAACUAGAAAAGAAACAUAAAAAUAGUGAUGAGCAAUUGAUAAAUCUAUUUAAUUCAACAAAUCUUUAACCAGGAAUCAGUAUGAGCUAAAUCAAUGAAGUGGUUCAGCUGUCAGGCCAACCAAAACAUUUUGUUACUAGAAAGUCCACAAAAAGAAAAAUUAUGUGAAUGGUUGUUACAUAAAUUCAAACAGAAACUAAUAUAGCUAUCCAAAAUAAUAAUAUGCAAAACCCAUAAUCAUCUGAAGAACAUAUUUUUCUGGUAAUCUAGUAAUCUGGUCUACCCCAAAUCAGGAUGGUAUCAAAACCCAGGCACAUGAGUUUCGAUAGUUCUGGCAGCUCAACCAGUUGUUCUGCUUCAGAAGGCUUUUGCAAACAGUUUUUUUAUGCAUGUCAUCACCACCAUGCUACACAGGUGAUGAACAAAACAUAAAGACUCUUUAGAAAAAGGUAGGGCCGUUCAGAGCAAGAACACAUGGAUGACGAGAAAAAAUAUAUCUAAUGUAAAAGCUUACCCUUAGAGUCUUCCAUGCAGUAGCAUGAGCUUCUGGUGUCUGUAGGAGGAACAAAAUAUUUACAAUAAGACAAACUCUUCACUAGAGAUGUAACAUAAAUCUCUCCAAUAAUGCAACUUGUAAGAGCUCAAUACCAAUACUGCACUAUCAUCUUCAAGAUCAGAAGCUGCAAUCCAGUCCACUGAUGGCUUCAAAGAACAUGCAAUGCAAGCAUGCAGAAGGGCCUGCACACAAAAUGAGGCAUAAUGAUGCAAGAUAGCUUGUAUGUUAGAGAUCAUACUCGGAGCAACCAAAGCAACUUUUGCCUUCUUCAGUUUUGAAUGAAGAAAUAAUUAUAUUAAGCUGAUUCAACAGGCAAAUAUUUUUCAUAAUAGAAAAUGAAAGUUCAGUUUGUAAGUUAGGUUAAUCAUAAUGAUCUCGCCGUACACAUGGCAUGUAAUUGAUGCCUUCCAAAUAACCCAGCCUAAGUGAAAACACACAAUUAUGAGCAGUGCAUUGUGGUAUGAUAUUAACCUAGUGUAUAUAAAAACUCAGAAAAUUUUCUGUAAAAACUUCAAAAACAGGUUUUGUAUUAUACACAGAUAAUUAGGAACUGAAAAUCAGAUAAAAUCAUCUAUAUAUUGGCAUCUUAUAUUCAUUAGCAAAUUUUUCAGUUAGAAAAAAUUUUAAUUUGUAAAUCAAGUCACCCAUUGGUAUUUUAAAUCACAGCCCAACAAAUGAUAUUCAUUGUCCUCUUAUUCACACUAAGCAUGAAUUUAAAGUGUCAUCAGACCUUCACAACAGACAGAUAUGAAUCUGUCAGACCAACAUACUUCCCAACCAUUGCAAUUCUCACCUACAAAAAGCAGCAUCACUUCAUAUGUCAAUAACAGGAAAAAAAUUUCCCAAAAUAGAGAAUUAAAUGCUAAAAGCACUAACAGAAUUUGUGAGACUAUCAAAAUUCUCUGCCCUCUUCGUCCAUUCUUGUAAAUCAGGAGGUGUAGCCUUGCUGAAACCAAACUUAAUAACCAGUCAGUUAACAUAAGCAAUCUCCCUGUAUUCAAUAUCUUGUUUCAAGAUUAUUGACCCAUUCUGUUUUAUAGGCAGCCAAAAAAAUUACUACAUGCAGUAGUUCCAGCAUGAUUACUAUCGCAUAUGAUCCAUGACUGCUAAAGUCAUUUUUUAUUUUUAUUUUUUUUAUCAGGGACUGCCAAAGUCAUAUAGUUGGUUGAAAAAAGUUUAUCAAACUCAAAACAGUCAGUGACCGCCAGAAUCAAACUAAUGAAGUGCCUCAGUCCCAUUAAACUUUCAAAAGAACUUGGACUGGCUGAACCUGAGCAUUUCUCUGAUCUCAAAAUUUAAACCUUCGAAGUUAGAAGGAAAAGAAAUUAACACAAAACCUCACCUAAGAUUUAGCUGUUUUAGAAUGGAAUUAUGAGCAUUUUGGUUCUGGAAACAGAAGUAACACAUCAGAAACAUAGGUAAAGAACAUAAAAUUGUUGAAGGCAACAGAUCAGAAGCAAUCAAGAAUUACAGAAAGCAGAGAAUUAUUGUUAAACUCACCCGAAGCAAAAGAGGAACAUGCCAAAUGUUUGGAACAUCAUGGAUAUUGAGAAUGUUACCAACCUAUGAGAAACGAUAGCAGAAAGAAAAAUCCCUCACCCCGUGAGAAUAGAAUUCAACACUAAGGUCACAAAUCAAUUUUUCAAUGAUAAUAACUUACUGGAACAUGGCAAAACUGUGAAAGUUUCUCCUUUGUAGUUUCCAAUAAAGGCUGCAAUACAUAACCAAAAGGCAUUUAUUUAAUUCCUUGCAUUCUAGCAAACUAGCAGUAGUGGAGGAGCAGCAAGCAAAAAUAAAAAGAUGAAAGCUAAGCAACAAUAAGUUUUAGAACUAAUCAAACUUAUUACUAACCUGGUAAAACAGGGGGACGAAAAUGAGAAAGUAAAAAAAUCACCAUUGAUGAAACACUUGCCAUUUUGCAACAACAAAAACAAAUGAAAAUUGUGUGCAUGCAAGGUAUAGAAUGAAGAUUAGAAGAUGCUUGGAAAACAAUGAAACUGAUUCAACCGAAUAACCAUCAAUCAAAUGUCCACUACAGCUAGGCUUGCACCAAUCAUUUUCCCAACUACUAAUAUAUACAAAAUUAUACUAACAUGACUGGUGAAUCAAACCCAACUUGAUGGAACUGGAUCAGAUUGACUAAAAAGACUCCUCAGCCAAAGUUGCUACAUUCAUUUAGAGUGAUGUUAGUUGUUUCAUGAAAAUUAAACAGAAUUAGUGUACCUUACAUGACCAUCACUAGAACUUGUGAUAGAGAAAUUCAAUU
rnacentral:lncRNA from 1 species